AACACCAACACCAACAUUGUACCCGUCGGAGAGCAUGUUGGCUCCACCCCCAUAGCGGUUGAAAUAAGUCGACUGGAACAAUUUCACCAAACCAACUCCGCAAGUGGCUCCGAGACAUUGAGCCACCAUAUAAGACACAGCUCUCACCAAUGAUACCUUGCUAGCCAGGAAUAACCCAAACGUCACCGCGGGGUUAAUGUGUCCACCUAUAUAUACACACACAUAUGAUUAGUAUUUUAUAUAACCAGCUGAUCAAGUUGAGGAGCCCCAAGUUACGAAGCAUUUGCAUUUAGCUAUGCUAAUCAAUACAACUUAUUAAUAUGGUUAAGGAGAGAGAGAGAUAAACCAGAGAUUCCGGCAGUGCAGUAGACGAGGAUGAAGAUCAUGCCACCAAAGGCCCAAGAGAUGCCGAGGAGGCCAACGCUAGCGCAAGCUCCGCCACCUGCUUUGGCAUCAGUCUGGCUCUUGAAGCCGAUGACUGUCAAAA